ensembl:lncRNA
CCUGAGAGUUGGAAAGAAGCAAUACUUAUCCCAAAAAGGAAGACAGGGAAAGAUGCUAGUAAGCCAUCAAACUAUAGAGCAGGGAUGGCGAACAUCAGUCCUGGAGAGCCGCAGGCCCGCAGCCCUGCAGAGUUUUGCUUCAACCACCAAACACACCUGAACAAGCUCAACAAGGUCUGGUGCUUCCUGAGAAGAUUGAUCUGCUGGCUGAACUUCAUCACUGCAUCACGGAGGAUGAUGUUGAGCCAACAGCACUGCCAACCAGCAUCAAGCACUAUUCUGCACAACUAGUUAAACGUCUAAACACACAUACAUACUCUCAUAUUAUAUGCCUUCCACAGUUGCCUCUUGAUUGAAGACUUCUGUCACAGUUUCCCUAAUUUAGGAAACACAUGCUUCAUGAACUCUGUUGCAGUGUCUCACCGGCUCCUCUUUCCGGGACGAUGUGUUUCUCAGCGGAAAUCUUGGAAUGAGGGAAGCACAAUGCUCAGGCUGACAGGCAAUGACAAGAAGCUGAAGAUAAAGCUGUUGUCUACAGUGAAGGCCUGCACUGAAACUCACCAUCCUGAUUUCUUAGGAGACCAUCAGCAGGAGGAGGGCGAGCUUCUACAGAAGACACUUGUCCUGCAGCAAACAUGGAGUUCCAGCUCAACCGCCGGCACACCUGUGACAGACUUCUUCGUUUGACUGCUCAUGCCUCUGAGGCGCUGGCACAGUACAACACCCUGUUAAUCAGUUAAUACCCUGCAGGAUAACUGAACACAAACUCCUGAUCAUCUCAAAGUCUCUGCAGGGUCCCGCUGCUUCUGGUUAUGCUCUCUGACGGGGAAUCCUGUAGCUGGAGGAUCGACUGGAAGAUCCAGAAGAGUUUUCCCUGUCCAGCAGUGCAGGUAACACUCAGGUCAUCAAACAUCUGCCCUCUGCUGGUCAGUUAUGAAACACUCACCUGAACCAGUUUAAAAGAGGAUGGUUUCUCUGAAAACAUCUGAAUCAUGUUUAAGCAUGCAUUGAGUAUUUACUGAAUUGUUUUCUUCUUUGAUGUAUGACCUCAACAGAGAGCAGAAAGAUCACAG